AUAAGCAAGAAUCUGUAAAUUUAUUGGUACGUGUGAGUGAAAUAAAUGGUAGGUUAAUUAUGGUAUGGUAUGAAAUAAUUGACUUAUAAUGGUCAGCCUAAGGAAGUACUUAUGUCAUUAAGAGGAAGAUCUAAAGGCCUUGAAUGAAAAUUUGGACUAAUUGGUUAAUGCUCGUAUGGUGCCCUCGCACGACAUACCAGAUUAGUAUAAUAAAGUAAUGCGAAUGAUUAAAUCUGAGGUUAGACAUAAAGUUGUAAGUAGUUCAAGUGACGGUAGAAAUGUAGAUUAAUGUCUAAACCACGUGACGAGUAUGGGUAAGGGAGUAUGAAAAUGAUAGUUAUGUUAGUGUAUUAAUAUCCAAAUGUCUACAGUAAUGUGUAUUAGUAUAUGCUCACCUCCUAUGAAGAUAUGAAAGAAAUUAGGAGCAACGUUAGUAAUGGAAUGUAGCGGUUGCCCUAGAUAAGCGGGAAUGGAAUAAUAAUAAGUAUCCAGUGAUAGCGUUAAAUUUAAAAUGAAUGCAGGUAAAAAGAUUGAGUAAGUAAAUGGUCCAAAUUAUUAUAUGUUAACGAAAGUGCCUAGAAAGGUUAAUAAAGAUAGAACACCGAGUUCAAAACCACAAUAAGUAUUGGUAGGGAAAAUGUUAGAAUGUAAUAUUUUCUUUAUUAUAUGAGUGAGUUUGAAAUAGUAUGACUCACUACAAAUGGUAGAUGCAUGAAAGUUCAAUGCCUGACUCAUAGAGCGAGAACAAGAUAUCCACUUAUGGUUGAAAAUGAAACCCACCCCUUAUAUAAGUCGCAAGUGUUUUUGGAAUGUAAAGAGCAUAAUGAAUGAAGAGAUGAAUGGAUUAAAGGUAGAAUUGUCCAAGUAGGAAUGAGCAAGGUUUCGGGGACGAAACCUCUUUUAAGGGGGGUAGACUUGUAACACCCCAAAAGUCGUAUAUAAAAAUAUGACGAAAUAAGUAAUUAUGAAUGUAAUUGUCGUUAGAAUGGUAAGUAGAAUUAUGAACAUUGUUAAAGCGGUAAAUAGGAUUUUAACCUAAAAGAAUGCAUUUUGGCCAUAAUAAUAUAAACAUCCAAACAUGAGGGCUUAAAUUGUAAUGAAUGGAAAGAUUAAAUGCAACACCCCAAUUUCUAAGUCUUGACGUGCUGCAUUAAGUUUCGGAUUAAAUCAUGACAAAAAUAAAAUGACUUAUUUAUUAGAGAAGUGUUUGUCAAAAGUGUGAAUGCACAUUUAAAGAGACUCGUACAAAACAUCUCAAGAAACGCUCGUUUUAUGCAAAUCUAGAAGUUUCGGGUUAAAAAUGUCAAACUAUUGAACUAAGAGGGACCAAGGGUGAUAAGUGGCAAACUUUAAUACCCUAAAACAUGUUAGGGCUGCCUCCAUCUCCCUCACAUUGAUAAUUUUCGGUUUUGGGAGCUAAGGAGGAGAGAGAAGGGAGAAAUCCCGUUUUUGAAGUUUAUAGCAGCAAAGAUCAGACGAUUCCCGAAGAUCUAACCGUUGGAUCGAGCUCAAAUUUGGAUCGAGUCUUCUACACAUAUAUAUGAAGAUUUUGACCGUUGGGAUCGUCAUUUAGAGGCUUGGAGGUCGGAUAUUUACUGCCCUGAACAGAACAGCUUGCUGGAAGGGUUUCCGGCGGCUGUUUGGUCUUUCCAGCAACAAUAGCGAUUGUUUCCAGCUGAAACAACAAGUGUUAUGUUUAGAUCUUGAAAAUAGGGUUCCAUGGACACCUGAAUUACCCAGAUCGGAGUCCGGAUGACCAAGUUAUGGGCUCGACAAGUUUGUGUCGCAUUUCGUUACAUGAUUUUCUUACAAACCGGUUUAGGACAGCAUGUCCGCAAAGGUACAUGCCAUUUUGGGCGCGAACUUGGUAGGCAACGGGACGGACAUAUGGAAUACGUAUCAACUACUUACGGGUCAAGGUGGCUUGAUUGUGAAUUCUAUUGGAGGUUGAUUCACAAGUUGGAAGCGAUAGUGGACUAUGAAAUUAAAGGAGUCGAGUUCGUUGGAAGUUUGUGAAAAAUAUAGAUCAGAAUCCACCUAUUUGAGUUAUCUAAUAUAUAUUAUAUAUAGAACUCAUAACGUGCAUGUUGGGUUUCAGGUAUAAUGGGAACUAGAGGUUCGCGGACUGAUGAAUGGAACAAGGUUUGGUGACAAAUCUGAGAUCGGGUAAGCAAUGUCAGUUCAUCCAUCCAUCAGGUUAUGUCGCCGGCUUAGACGGGUCAUCAUGUUUUAGUUGCCUUUUACGGCAUUCGGUAGUUUUAAAUCGUGUAAGCUUCAUGAGUCAGACGUAGUGUCUUGUUUUGUUUAUGUUCAAGUUUAGAGUUGUAAAAUGGAUUGUAAACAGGUUUUGUUACCGUAACGGUUAUCCGUAAUACGAACGGGUCAUGCCGAAAUUUUAUAAAAAUUGGAUUGGAAUAUGUAAGUUUUUAAAUGAUGGUAACUAUCAAAUGAAAGUCAUGACAUUAUAAUUGUUUCUAGAAAUUGAAGCUAAAUACAAAUGGGCCUACAUUCCGCAAAUCAUAGUAAGAUUGUUUAGAAAAUUUAUGGGCGUUACAAGUUGGUAUCAGAGCCCUGGUUUGAGGGAAUCAAGUAUGAGAAGGUAAAUACUUGAACUCAAACUUGUGUGCUCUUAUGACAAGGAACCCGUACAAUCCGAGACUCGAUCAAGAUCUAAGGGUAGAGGCAAAGGUAAGUAUGUACUUAAGUUUGUAUUUGAAGGAAACUAACAGUAUGUUAUGUGUAAGGUAAGCAUAAUUGCUUGGAGAGGAUGACCCGUGAAUGCGGUCUAGGACUGCCAUCAAGGCACGUAACAAGAUAAAUUGGUCCCAGGUACGUAAAUUUAACAUGUGGGCGCAUGAACUGGUAAUGUCAAGUUAAGGAAAAUUUAAAAUGAAAAAUAAUAAUAGAAUGGUAAUGAAGUUUUCAAAAUGUCACACGUGCCGAAACCUAAUUCUUCGGACAUAAGGUGACGAUCACACGAAGACACGAAACUAGUAUGUGGAUUGUGUACCUGGCCAGUACACAAGAAACAUAUGAUGUUCGUGAGACCUUGGUAAUUGUUACAGGUAUGUCCGUUAGAAUUAGGGAGUAGGUGGACAUGAGGGUGAAAGGAAAUGUAAGACUCUCAAGAAAUUGAAAGUACCAAACACGAAAGAGAAGUAUGAAUGAUAUGUUAGAAUCCACGAGACCGAUUCGAAACAUAGAAGGAAUGAGAAAGUAUGAAUAAUAUGCUAGAAUCCGCGAGACGGAUUCGAAACAAUGAAGGAAUGAAAGCAUGAAUGAUAUGUUAGAAUCUGCGAGACGGAUUCGAAAUAUGAAAGAAUGAAAGAAUGAAUGAUAUGUUAGAAUCCGCGAGACGGAUUCAAAACAUAGAAGGAGUGACGAAUAUGAAUGAGAUGUUUGAAUCCGUGAGACGGAUUCAAAACAUAGAAAGGAAUGGAAAGUGGAAUGUAAAGUCCGAAUUCGUAAGUAAAUGUGGAUCGAAGAGGUAAUUAUUUUAAGGCAGAUAUUGACCAAGUUAUGUUUUAAAACUUUUUACUAUAUAUAAAUAUAAUUAUGCAAAUGCAUUGUGUGCAAGAUGGUUAAGAGGGACAAAUGAGUUAUGCGGGUCAAAUGGUGCUUGCCAUUUGUACCCGGUAUUUAAUGUUUAAAAUGGUCAAGUCAUAUAUUUGUAGGUGAGCAUAAUGUAUGGUUAUGUAAUGUCACAAAUUGGAAGGAAAUAGUCAACGCAGGGCAUGGAUAACGAGUCAAUGGAUUUGACUUGCGCCAGGUAUGUAUAAAGGUUAUGCUUUUAAUAGGAUCUUUUGGCUCGACUAGAGAGUAAUGUGUCAGAAUAAGAUAACUAAUACGUAUAUGUAAGGAUGUUUUUACAAAUUAAACUUCCAAAAAGUCAAACAGAGUGAAAUAAAAAUUAAGAAGGCAAGUGAUAGAAAAAUAGAAAGAAAAUUUUUGCCCCCCCUCCCCUAAAUAAGUGAGUAUAACCGUUGAAAACGGUUGUUGUAGCAAAAUUUAGUUGGAAGAAAGAAACUUUGAAACAUGUUACGUAUUAGACAUAUUACGAAACGACUCUUGAGGGUAAGAAUGAAUGACGGGUUACGACUUAGACAAUAACUUAAGAGUGGAUGGGAAGGGUAGGUUUUGACAAGGAUACUGUAAUAAUGUAAUGCAGUCUUUACAAGUAUGCAUGAAUGGAAAAGAAGGAUGAAUGUGUACUUCGAUACGUCUGCGAUAAGUAAGAAGUGCAAGUUUGACCUUGAAAAGUCAAACUGCAAAGGUUGAUGAAAUAACCAAUAAAAUGAAAAGACUGUAUGCAAGAAAUGGAAUGCGAUAUGUUUAAAACAUGUACGUAAGAAAUUGUGAAAUAGUCAUAGGCGAACAAACACCAUGUGGAAUGCAAAUAUGAAAAGUUAUGUGCUAACCGUUAAUUUUUACAGAUACGAAUGGUGAAAUUAUUAGUAUAAUGAUAGUAAUAAAGCUGUUGGAAGGAUGCUCACGAGUGGGAGCAUAUUUCACGAAUGAAUGAGACCAAAUUCUGGUACGGAAGGUACCUGUAAAGAAGCGGAACGAUCCGGUUCCCAGAUCACUGAUCAACGCAAUGAGGCGAGGUACAUGCCAUUUUGGGCGCGAACUUGGUAGGCAACGGGACGGACAUAUGGAAUACGUAUCAACUACUUACGGGUCAAGGUGGCUUGAUUGUGAAUUCUAUUGGAGGUUGAUUCACAAGUUGGAAGCGAUAGUGGACUAUGAAAUUAAAGGAGUCGAGUUCGUUGGAAGUUUGUGAAAAAUAUAGAUCAGAAUCCACCUAUUUGAGUUAUCUAAUAUAUAUUAUAUAUAGAACUCAUAACGUGCAUGUUGGGUUUCAGGUAUAAUGGGAACUAGAGGUUCGCGGACUGAUGAAUGGAACAAGGUUUGGUGACAAAUCUGAGAUCGGGUAAGCAAUGUCAGUUCAUCCAUCCAUCAGGUUAUGUCGCCGGCUUAGACGGGUCAUCAUGUUUUAGUUGCCUUUUACGGCAUUCGGUAGUUUUAAAUCGUGUAAGCUUCAUGAGUCAGACGUAGUGUCUUGUUUUGUUUAUGUUCAAGUUUAGAGUUGUAAAAUGGAUUGUAAACAGGUUUUGUUACCGUAACGGUUAUCCGUAAUACGAACGGGUCAUGCCGAAAUUUUAUAAAAAUUGGAUUGGAAUAUGUAAGUUUUUAAAUGAUGGUAACUAUCAAAUGAAAGUCAUGACAUUAUAAUUGUUUCUAGAAAUUGAAGCUAAAUACAAAUGGGCCUACAUUCCGCAAAUCAUAGUAAGAUUGUUUAGAAAAUUUAUGGGCGUUACAAGUUGGUAUCAGAGCCCUGGUUUGAGGGAAUCAAGUAUGAGAAGGUAAAUACUUGAACUCAAACUUGUGUGCUCUUAUGACAAGGAACCCGUACAAUCCGAGACUCGAUCAAGAUCUAAGGGUAGAGGCAAAGGUAAGUAUGUACUUAAGUUUGUAUUUGAAGGAAACUAACAGUAUGUUAUGUGUAAGGUAAGCAUAAUUGCUUGGAGAGGAUGACCCGUGAAUGCGGUCUAGGACUGCCAUCAAGGCACGUAACAAGAUAAAUUGGUCCCAGGUACGUAAAUUUAACAUGUGGGCGCAUGAACUGGUAAUGUCAAGUUAAGGAAAAUUUAAAAUGAAAAAUAAUAAUAGAAUGGUAAUGAAGUUUUCAAAAUGUCACACGUGCCGAAACCUAAUUCUUCGGACAUAAGGUGACGAUCACACGAAGACACGAAACUAGUAUGUGGAUUGUGUACCUGGCCAGUACACAAGAAACAUAUGAUGUUCGUGAGACCUUGGUAAUUGUUACAGGUAUGUCCGUUAGAAUUAGGGAGUAGGUGGACAUGAGGGUGAAAGGAAAUGUAAGACUCUCAAGAAAUUGAAAGUACCAAACACGAAAGAGAAGUAUGAAUGAUAUGUUAGAAUCCACGAGACCGAUUCGAAACAUAGAAGGAAUGAGAAAGUAUGAAUAAUAUGCUAGAAUCCGCGAGACGGAUUCGAAACAAUGAAGGAAUGAAAGCAUGAAUGAUAUGUUAGAAUCUGCGAGACGGAUUCGAAAUAUGAAAGAAUGAAAGAAUGAAUGAUAUGUUAGAAUCCGCGAGACGGAUUCAAAACAUAGAAGGAGUAACGAAUAUGAAUGAGAUGUUUGAAUCCGUGAGACGGAUUCAAAACAUAGAAAGGAAUGGAAAGUGGAAUGUAAAGUCCGAAUUCGUAAGUAAAUGUGGAUCGAAGAGGUAAUUAUUUUAAGGCAGAUAUUGACCAAGUUAUGUUUUAAAACUUUUUACUAUAUAUAAAUAUAAUUAUGCAAAUGCAUUGUGUGCAAGAUGGUUAAGAGGGACAAAUGAGUUAUGCGGGUCAAAUGGUGCUUGCCAUUUGUACCCGGUAUUUAAUGUUUAAAAUGGUCAAGUCAUAUAUUUGUAGGUGAGCAUAAUGUAUGGUUAUGUAAUGUCACAAAUUGGAAGGAAAUAGUCAACGCAGGGCAUGGAUAACGAGUCAAUGGAUUUGACUUGCGCCAGGUAUGUAUAAAGGUUAUGCUUUUAAUAGGAUCUUUUGGCUCGACUAGAGAGUAAUGUGUCAGAAUAAGAUAACUAAUACGUAUAUGUAAGGAUGUUUUUACAAAUUAAACUUCCAAAAAGUCAAACAGAGUGAAAUAAAAAUUAAGAAGGCAAGUGAUAGAAAAAUAGAAAGAAAAUUUUUGCCCCCCCUCCCCUAAAUAAGUGAGUAUAACCGUUGAAAACGGUUGUUGUAGCAAAAUUUAGUUGGAAGAAAGAAACUUUGAAACAUGUUACGUAUUAGACAUAUUACGAAACGACUCUUGAGGGUAAGAAUGAAUGACGGGUUACGACUUAGACAAUAACUUAAGAGUGGAUGGGAAGGGUAGGUUUUGACAAGGAUACUGUAAUAAUGUAAUGCAGUCUUUACAAGUAUGCAUGAAUGGAAAAGAAGGAUGAAUGUGUACUUCGAUACGUCUGCGAUAAGUAAGAAGUGCAAGUUUGACCUUGAAAAGUCAAACUGCAAAGGUUGAUGAAAUAACCAAUAAAAUGAAAAGACUGUAUGCAAGAAAUGGAAUGCGAUAUGUUUAAAACAUGUACGUAAGAAAUUGUGAAAUAGUCAUAGGCGAACAAACACCAUGUGGAAUGCAAAUAUGAAAAGUUAUGUGCUAACCGUUAAUUUUUACAGAUACGAAUGGUGAAAUUAUUAGUAUAAUGAUAGUAAUAAAGCUGUUGGAAGGAUGCUCACGAGUGGGAGCAUAUUUCACGAAUGAAUGAGACCAAAUUCUGGUACGGAAGGUACCUGUAAAGAAGCGGAACGAUCCGGUUCCCAGAUCACUGAUCAACGCAAUGAGGCGAGGUACAUGCCAUUUUGGGCGCGAACUUGGUAGGCAACGGGACGGACAUAUGGAAUACGUAUCAACUACUUACGGGUCAAGGUGGCUUGAUUGUGAAUUCUAUUGGAGGUUGAUUCACAAGUUGGAAGCGAUAGUGGACUAUGAAAUUAAAGGAGUCGAGUUCGUUGGAAGUUUGUGAAAAAUAUAGAUCAGAAUCCACCUAUUUGAGUUAUCUAAUAUAUAUUAUAUAUAGAACUCAUAACGUGCAUGUUGGGUUUCAGGUAUAAUGGGAACUAGAGGUUCGCGGACUGAUGAAUGGAACAAGGUUUGGUGACAAAUCUGAGAUCGGGUAAGCAAUGUCAGUUCAUCCAUCCAUCAGGUUAUAUCGCCGACUUAGACGGGUCAUCAUGUUUUAGUUGCCUUUUACGGAAUUCGGUAGUUUUAAAUCGUGUAAGCUUCAUGAGUCAGACGUAGUGUCUUGUUUUGUUUAUGUUCAAGUUUAGAGUUGUAAAAUGGAUUGUAAACAGGUUUUAUUACCGUAACGGUUAUCCGUAAUACGAACGGGUCAUGUCGAAAUUUUAUAAAAAUUGGAUUGGAAUAUGUAAGUUUUUAAAUGAUGGUAACUAUCAAAUGAAAGUCAUGACACUAUAAUUGUUUCUAGAAAUUGAAGCUAAAUACAAAUGGGCCUACAUUCCGCAAA